rnacentral:rRNA from 1 species
GACGAACGCUGGCGGCGUGCUUAACACAUGCAAGUCGAACGAUGAAGCCUUUCGGGGUGGAUUAGUGGCGAACGGGUGAGUAACACGUGGGCAAUCUGCCCUGUACUUUGGGAUAAGCCUUGGAAACGAGGUCUAAUACCGGAUAUGACUGGCCUUCGCAUGGGGGUUGGGUUGUAAAGUUCUGGCGGUACAGGAUGAGCCCGCGGCCUAUCAGCUUGUUGGGUGGGGUAA